GUCCACGCCGUAAACGAUGGGUGCUAGGUGUCGCGGGCUUUGACUCCUGCGGUGCCGUAGCCAACGCAUUAAGCACCCCGCCUGGGAAGUACGGCCGCAAGGCUAAAACUCAAAGGAAUUGACGGGGGCCCGCACAAGCGGUGGAGCAUGUGGUUUAAUUCGACGCAACGCGAAGAACCUUACCUGGGCUAGAAAACAUAGGAACCUGGUAGAAGUAUCGGGGUGCUCUUCGGAGAAUCUGUGGUUAGGUGCUGCAUGGCUGUCGU
rnacentral:rRNA from 1 species